rnacentral:rRNA from 1 species
UACGGAGGGGGCAAGCGUUGUUCGGAAUUACUGGGCGUAAAGGGCUCGUAGGCGGCCAACUAAGUCAGACGUGAAAUCCCUCGGCUUAACCGGGGAACUGCGUCUGAUACUGGAUGGCUUGAGUUCGGGAGAGGGAUGCGGAAUUCCAGGUGUAGCGGUGAAAUGCGUAGAUAUCUGGAGGAACACCGGUGGCGAAGGCGGCAUCCUGGACCGACACUGACACUGAGGAGCGAAAGCCAGGGGAGCAAACGGG